rnacentral:rRNA from 1 species
GGGUUGUGAGGUUAAGCGACUAAGCGUACACGGUGGAUGCCCUGGCAGUCAGAGGCGAUGAAGGACGUGCUAAUCUGCGAAAAGCGUCGGUAAGGUGAUAUGAACCGUUACAGCCGGCGAUGUCCGAAUGGGGAAACCCAGUGUGAUUCGUCACACUAUCGUUAACUGAAUACAUAGGUUAACGAGGCGAACCGGGGGAACUGAAACAUCUAAGUACCCCGAGGAAAAGAAAUCAACCGAGAUUCCCCCAGUAGCGGCGAGCGAACGGGGAGCAGCCCAGAGUCUGAAUCAGCUUGUGUGUUAGUGGAACGGUCUGGAAAGUCCGACGGUACAGGGUGAUAGUCCCGUACACCAAAAUGCACAGGCUGUGAACUCGAAGAGUAGGGCGGGACACGUGGUAUCCUGUCUGAAUAUGGGGGGACCAUCCUCCAAGGCUAAAUACUCCUGACUGACCGAUAGUGAACCAGUACCGUGAGGGAAAGGCGAAAAGAACCCCGGCGAGGGGAGUGAAAAAGAACCUGAAACCGUGUACGUACAAGCAGUGGGAGCACCUUCGGGUGUGACUGCGUACCUUUUGUAUAAUGGGUCAGCGACUUAUAUUCUGUAGCAAGGUUAACCGUAUAGGGGAGCCGCAGGGAAACCGAGUCUUAACUGGGCGUUAAGUUGCAGGGUAUAGACCCGAAACCCGGUGAUCUAGCCAUGGGCAGGUUGAAGGUUGGGUAACACUAACUGGAGGACCGAACCGACUAAUGUUGAAAAAUUAGCGGAUGACUUGUGGCUGGGGGUGAAAGGCCAAUCAAACCGGGAGAUAGCUGGUUCUCCCCGAAAGCUAUUUAGGUAGCGCCUCGUGAAUUCAUCUUCGGGGGUAGAGCACUGUUUCGGCUAGGGGGUCAUCCCGACUUACCAACCCGAUGCAAACUACGAAUACCGAAGAAUGUUAUCACGGGAGACACACGGCGGGUGCUAACGUCCGUCGUGAAGAGGGAAACAACCCAGACCGCCAGCUAAGGUCCCAAAGUCAUGGUUAAGUGGGAAACGAUGUGGGAAGGCACAGACAGCCAGGAUGUUGGCUUAGAAGCAGCCAUCAUUUAAAGAAAGCGUAAUAGCUCACUGGUCGAGUCGGCCUGCGCGGAAGAUGUAACGGGGCUAAACCAUGCACCGAAGCUGCGGCAGCGACACUAUGUGUUGUUGGGUAGGGGAGCGUUCUGUAAGCCUGCGAAGGUGACCUGUGAGGGUUGCUGGAGGUAUCAGAAGUGCGAAUGCUGACAUAAGUAACGAUAAAGCGGGUGAAAAGCCCGCUCGCCGGAAGACCAAGGGUUCCUGUCCAACGUUAAUCGGGGCAGGGUGAGUCGACCCCCUAAGGCGAGGCCGAAAGGCGUAGUCGAUGGGAAACAGGUUAAUAUUCCUGUACUUGGUGUUACUGCGAAGGGGGGACGGAGAAGGCUAUGUUAGCCGGGCGACGGUUGUCCCGGUUUAAGCAUGUAGGCUGGUUGUCCAGGCAAAUCCGGAUAAUCAAGGCUGAGGUGUGAUGACGAGGCACUACGGUGCUGAAGUAACAAAUGCCCUGCUUCCAGGAAAAGCCUCUAAGCAUCAGGUAACAUUAAAUCGUACCCCAAACCGACACAGGUGGUCAGGUAGAGAAUACCAAGGCGCUUGAGAGAACUCGGGUGAAGGAACUAGGCAAAAUGGUGCCGUAACUUCGGGAGAAGGCACGCUGGUGUGUAGGUGAAGUCCCUGCGGAUGGAGCUGAGACCAGUCGAAGAUACCAGCUGGCUGCAACUGUUUAUUAAAAACACAGCACUGUGCAAACACGAAAGUGGACGUAUACGGUGUGACGCCUGCCCGGUGCCGGAAGGUUAAUUGAUGGGGUUAUCCGUAAGGAGAAGCUCUUGAUCGAAGCCCCGGUAAACGGCGGCCGUAACUAUAACGGUCCUAAGGUAGCGAAAUUCCUUGUCGGGUAAGUUCCGACCUGCACGAAUGGCGUAAUGAUGGCCAGGCUGUCUCCACCCGAGACUCAGUGAAAUUGAACUCGCUGUGAAGAUGCAGUGUACCCGCGGCAAGACGGAAAGACCCCGUGAACCUUUACUAUAGCUUGACACUGAACAUUGAGCCUUGAUGUGUAGGAUAGGUGGGAGGCUUUGAAGCGUGGACGCCAGUCUGCGUGGAGCCAACCUUGAAAUACCACCCUUUAAUGUUUGAUGUUCUAACGUUGGCCCCUUACCGGGGUUGCGGACAGUGUCUGGUGGGUAGUUUGACUGGGGCGGUCUCCUCCCAAAGCGUAACGGAGGAGCACGAAGGUUAGCUAAUCCUGGUCGGACAUCAGGAGGUUAGUGCAAUGGCAUAAGCUAGCUUGACUGCGAGCGUGACGGCGCGAGCAGGUGCGAAAGCAGGUCAUAGUGAUCCGGUGGUUCUGAAUGGAAGGGCCAUCGCUCAACGGAUAAAAGGUACUCCGGGGAUAACAGGCUGAUACCGCCCAAGAGUUCAUAUCGACGGCGGUGUUUGGCACCUCGAUGUCGGCUCAUCACAUCCUGGGGCUGAAGUAGGUCCCAAGGGUAUGGCUGUUCGCCAUUUAAAGUGGUACGCGAGCUGGGUUUAGAACGUCGUGAGACAGUUCGGUCCCUAUCUGCCGUGGGCGCUGGAGAAUUGAGGGGGGCUGCUCCUAGUACGAGAGGACCGGAGUGGACGCAUCACUGGUGUUCGGGUUGUCAUGCCAAUGGCACUGCCCGGUAGCUAAAUGCGGAAGAGAUAAGUGCUGAAAGCAUCUAAGCACGAAACUUGCCCCGAGAUGAGUUCUCCCUGAGACUUUAAGUCUCCUGAAGGAACGUUAAAGACGAUGACGUUGAUAGGCCGGGUGUGUAAGCGCAGCGAUGCGUUGAGCUAACCGGUACUAAUGAACCGUGAGGCUUAACCUUACAACGCCGAAG